UUAUCGUUUGAUUCGAUUAUCGCAACGAAUAUGAUCAGUGUACGACAUGAUGUUCACAGUGAAGUAAAAAAAUUUAUAUUCGUGACAUGUGAGUGGGAAUAUUAUAAAGAAAAUAAAUGGAAAGAGGUCAAGAACAUCUCGAAAUUUCUUCAAAUUUCUCCAGUUUGAAACAAAACUUUCACGAGCUUUGGUAGAAAAAGUUACUUCAUUACAAGAGCCAACCAAUGAUAUCUGUCGAUAUCGAAGAGGAAACUUCAACUUCCAACCAGGUUCCAGCUUAUAGACCCGGUUAAACGACGUUAUAAUUGUGAAACGAGACGACGACGACGACGACGACGAGGAACGAAUCCAAUCCAAUUACGCCGUAGUCACGACGCCCAAGGUCGAACGGUCCUCGAUCCCGAGGGAAAAACCGGUGGUUAAGAAACGACACCACAGAGUCGCCUCGAUUAAUAGAGUUCUCGGAUACGAGAUGAAGGAGGAGGAGGAGGAGGAGGAGGAUCGAGGACGUUCGCCAACGGGGUUCCUCUUAUCCCAAGGUCAUCGGCGUCAACCGCCGUUUCUAUUAAGGGAUGAACACGUUAGUUAGGAUAAGCACGUUUAGCGGAUUUCUUUAAUGCUGUGUUUCUUGCAGUCUUGGAGUUUUUAACGCAGAGACGUAUCCUUUUAUUUCGUUAGAAAUAUAUUUCGAAGGAUAAAAUUAUUCAAUUAUUGGAUUAUCGUAGAAAUUAUUUAAUAGUGAAGAAUUUCAAAACCUAAUCUUAAAAAUAAGAUGAACAAACAAC
rnacentral:lncRNA from 1 species